AUUGAACGCUGGCGGCAUGCUUUACACAUGCAAGUCGAACGGUAACAGGCCUUCGGGUGCUGACGAGUGGCGAACGGGUGAGUAAUGCAUCGGAACGUGCCCAGAGGUGGGGGAUAACGCAGCGAAAGCUGUGCUAAUACCGCAUGCGAUCUGAGGAUGAAAGCGGGGGACCAGGCAGCAAUGUUUGGCCUCGCGCCUUUGGAGCGGCCGAUGUCAGAUUAGGUAGUUGGUGGGGUAAAGGCCUACCAAGCCGACGAUCUGUAGCUGGUCUGAGAGGACGACCAGCCACACUGGGACUGAGACACGGCCCAGACUCCUACGGGAGGCAGCAGUGGGGAAUUUUGGACAAAGGGCGCAAGCCUGAUCCAGCAAUGCCGCGUGCGGGAAGAAGGCCUUCGGGUUGUAAACCGCUUUUGUACGGAACGAAAAGGCUCUGGCUAAUACCUGGGGCUGAUGACGGUACCGUAAGAAUAAGCACCGGCUAACUACGUG
rnacentral:rRNA from 1 species